ACNCCGCGUGCGGGGAUGACGGCCUUUCGGGGUUGUAAACCGGCUUUCGNCCUGUGACGAAGCGUGAGUGACGGUAAUGGGGUAAAGAAGCACCGGCUAACUACGUGCNCAGCAGCCGCGGUGAUACGUAGGUGCGAGCGUUGUCCGGAUUUAUUGGGCGUAAAGGGCUCGUAGGUGGUUGAUCGCGUCGGAAGUGUAAUCUUGGGGCUUAACCCUGAGCGUGCUUUCGAUACGGGUUGACUUGAGGAAGGUAGGGGAGAAUGGAAUUCCUGGUGGAGCGGUGGAAUGCGCAGAUAUCAGGAGGAACACCAGUGGCGAAGGCGGUUCUCUGGGCCUUUCCUGACGCUGAGGAGCGAAAGCGUGGGGAGCGAACAGGCUUAGAUACCCUGGUAGUCCACGCUGUAAACGGUGGGUACUAGGUGUGGGGUCCAUUCCACGGGUUCCGUGCCGUAGCUAACGCUUUAAGUACCCCGCCUGGGGAGUACGGCCGCAAGGCUAAAACUCAAAGGAAUUGACGGGAAUC
rnacentral:rRNA from 1 species